GUAGGGAAUAUUGGGCAAUGGAUGCAAGUCUGACCCAGCCAUCCCGCGUGCCGGAAGAAGGCCCUCAGGGUUGUAAACGGCUUUUGACGGUGAAGAAUCGACAGGAUGCGUCCUGUUUUGACGGUAGCCGUUGAAUAAGCACCGGCUAACUCCGUGCCAGCAGCCGCGGUAAUACGGAGGGUGCGAGCGUUGUCCGGAUUUAUUGGGUUUAAAGGGUGCGUAGGCUGGAAGGUCAGUCAGCGGUGAAAAGCUGUCGCUUAACGAUAGUCUUGCCGCAGAUACUUCCUUUCUUGGAUGUGGAGGAGGCCACUGGAACGGAUGGUGUAGCGGUGAAAUGCAUAGAUAUCAUCCAGAACACCGAUUGCGAAGGCAGGUGGCUGUACCUUAAUCGACGCUGAUGCACGAAAGCAUGGGGAGCAAACAGGAUUAGAAACCCUAGUAGUCC
rnacentral:rRNA from 1 species